rnacentral:tRNA from 1 species
UCCCUGGUGGCUCAGUUGGUAAAGAAUCUGCCUGCAAUGUAGGAGACCUGGGUUCAAUCCCUGGGUUGGGAA